UAGGCUUUAUUUUAAUUAAAAUAUCUGGUUGUUACCCAGGAGAUGUAAAUAUUUACAAGCUUAU
rnacentral:tRNA from 2 species